CCUACGGGGGGCUGCAGUGAGGAAUAUUGGUCAAUGGACGAGAGUCUGAACCAGCCAAGUAGCGUGAAGGAUGACUGCCCUAUGGGUUGUAAACUUCUUUUAUAUGGGAAUAAAAUGUUCCACGUGUGGGAUUUUGUAUGUACCAUAUGAAUAAGGAUCGGCUAACUCCGUGCCAGCAGCCGCGGUAAUACGGAGGAUCCGAGCGUUAUCCGGAUUUAUUGGGUUUAAAGGGAGCGUAGGUGGAUUGUUAAGUCAGUUGUGAAAGUUUGCGGCUCAACCGUAAAAUUGCAGUUGAAACUGGCAGUCUUGAGUACAGUAGAGGUGAGCGGAAUUCGUGGUGGAGCGGUGAAAUGCUUAGAUAUAACGAAGAAAUCCGAUUGCGAAGGCAGUUCACUGGACUGCAACUGACACUGAGGCUCGAAAGUGUGGGUAUCAAACAGGAUUAGAUACCCGGGUAGUC
rnacentral:rRNA from 1 species